AUUAUGUUCAGAGAUGCUCAAUCUACUUUGUAUACAAGUAGCAUUAUAUAAAUAAUUCCAUGGAUAUUAUAAUAUGUAAUAUCUCAAACCACAGUUUACAUUUGCCUAAUCAACUCAUUAACUUAUCAGCUCCAAACACAUUUAACACUGAGCAGCAAUUGUCCAUGGCAGGCUAUUGCUUGCUAUUCUCAGCUGCCAGACGAAGGAAUGCUAAAAAGAGCCUUUGUAGAUUGGGAAACCUAUGCUUUAAAAGAAAUGACGCUGCCUACAAGGAACACAGAGCAGGCGUUUUUAGAACAAGAGUUCCAGAUUCCUGUGACUCAGAUGUAAAUACAUCUGGCUAA
rnacentral:lncRNA from 1 species